GACGAACGCUGGCGGCGUGCUUAACACAUGCAAAUCGAACGUGAUUUUUGUGGAAAUUCUUUCGGGAAUGGAAAUGAAAUGAAAGUGGCGAACGGGUGAGUAACACGUGAGCAACCUACCUUACACAGGGGGAUAGCCGUUGGAAACGACGAUUAAUACCGCAUGAGACCACAGAAUCGCAUGAUAUAGGGGUCAAAGAUUUAUCGGUGUAAGAAGGGCUCGCGUCUGAUUAGCUAGUUGGAAGGGUAAAGGCCUACCAAGGCGACGAUCAGUAGCCGGUCUGAGAGGAUGAACGGCCACAUUGGAACUGAGACACGGUCCAAACUCCUACGGGAGGCAGCAGUGGGGAAUAUUGCACAAUGGGGGGAACCCUGAUGCAGCGACGCCGCGUGAGCGAAGAAGGUUUUCGAAUCGUAAAGCUCUGUCCUAUGAGAAGAUAAUGACGGCAUCAUAGGAGGAAGCCC
rnacentral:rRNA from 1 species